rnacentral:tRNA from 1 species
GGCUUGCUGGUCUAGUGGUAUGAUUCUCGCUUUGGGUGCGAGAGGUCACGGGCUCGAUUCCCGUGCAAGCCC